rnacentral:rRNA from 1 species
UACGUAGGGUGCAAGCGUUAAUCGGAAUUACUGGGCGUAAAGCGUGCGCAGGCGGUGAUGUAAGACAGGUGUGAAAUCCCCGGGCUUAACCUGGGAACUGCAUUUGUGACUGCAUCGCUGGAGUGCGGCAGAGGGGGAUGGAAUUCCGCGUGUAGCAGUGAAAUGCGUAGAUAUGCGGAGGAACACCGAUGGCGAAGGCAAUCCCCUGGGCCUGCACUGACGCUCAUGCACGAAAGCGUGGGGAGCAAACAGGAUUAGACUACCC